rnacentral:piRNA from 1 species
UGCAGCCCAGUAUGGUCAUUAUUCC